AAAAGUCCAUGGGGGUCC
rnacentral:misc_RNA from 1 species